rnacentral:rRNA from 1 species
GAAGGCUGAAAUUCGCCUUCAUGAAGCCGGAAUUGCUAGUAAUGGCAGGUCAGCAUGUCGCGGUGAAUACGUUCCCGGGUCUUGUACACACCGCCCGUCACACCAUGGGAGUUGGUAACGCCCGAAGCCAGUGACCCAACCGGAAACGGAGGGAGCUGUCGAAGGUGGGACCGAUAACUGGGGUGAAGUCGUAACAAGGUAAC